rnacentral:rRNA from 1 species
AUGAAUUCGCCUCCGCCGCAACCCAGCCUCCUCUCGCUGAUCGACGACGCCAUCCGCGAGAUAUUGUUCCGCAUCCCGCCGGGUGACCCGGCGAGCCUUGUCCGCGCCUCCGCCGUCUGCACCACCCUGUUCGGUAUCAUCUCCGACCCCGCCUUCCUUCGCUCCUACCGGGCCUUUCACGGGACUCCCCCGAUAUUGGGCUACCUCCACAACAAAUCUCAGGAGAGCCACGAUGUCGCCCAAUUCGUCCCCACCGGAGCCUUCUGCCCGCUCGUUUGCGAGCGCCGCGACUGGGACGCGGUCGACUCCCGCCAUGGCCGCGUCCUCUUCUACACGCCCGAGGAGAAGGAUACUGACUUCGUCGUUUGGGACCCCAUCACCGACAACCAGCGGGUGAUUUCCGCCGGCUCCGAGCUACUGGAGAUUCUUUGUGCUGGAGAGGAGGUAACCUGGAUGACCGCGGUGCUGUGCGCCAAGGACGGCUGCGACCACCUGGGCUGCCAUGACGGUCCCUUCCUCGUGGCCUUCGUCGGCUCCAACAUGGUAGAGAAGACCAUGUUCGCAUUCGUUUACUCAUCCGAGACUACUGAGUGGAGCGAGAUGGUCUCGGUUGAGAAUCCGAAUGUCGUCGUGACGUAUCCGUUUGGCAGCGUCAUGCAUCCCUACGCCAUUGAAGAGAGUGGGCACACUGCGGUUGUGGGAAAGAAAGUUUACUUCGCCGUCAAGUGGGGCUACUGGAGCAUGAGAAUGGUGAUGUACAAUGUAGGCGAGCAGGAACUUUCACUGAUUAAUUUGCAGGACCAGGCGCGCGGUAUACUCAUGGGAGAGGAAGACGGUGCACUGGUAUUUGCGGCCAUGGAGGAGACUAAACUCUCUGUGUGGUCAAUGGAGGCUGGUCCCAAUGGAGUUGUGGCGAGGGGGCAACGCAGGGCCAUCGAGCUUGAAAAGAUUCUCCCUCCUCCUGCCCUCUCGUGGAUGGUAGGCAAUCCCUUCUUGGAUGGCAGAUGCACACCGGUUGGUUUCGCGAAAGGUGCCGGUGUCAUCUUCCUAAAUACAGAAGAUGGGUUGUUUACAGUUGAGGUCUGCUCUGGCCGAACCAAGAAAAUAAACGGAAAGACCUUCGAGCCAGUCAUUCCCUAUAUGAGCUUCUACACUCGAGAGCAUGCUGCCACUGCAAUCAAAAUCAUACAAGUGAACCGGCCGCCAGUUUGA